rnacentral:rRNA from 1 species
CUGUAAUUCUAGAAUCCCUGGAGGAGGUUGGAAAAUUUCCGAGGUGUAGAGUGAAAUUCGCAGAUAUUCGGAGGAAUACCAGGGGCGUAGGCGCCUAAACUGGACAGGUAUUGACGCUCAGAUACGAAAGCGUGGGAGCAAACAGGAUUAGAUACCCUGGUAGUCCACGCCGUAAACGAUGUUUGCUAGUUGUCGGGGCCAAAGGUCUCGGUGACGGAGAGAAAUCAUUAAGCAAACCGCCUGGGGAGUACGGCCGCAAGGUUAAAACUCAAAGGAAUUGACGGGGACCCGCACAAGCGGUGGAGCAUGUUGUUUAAUUCGAAGCAACGCGAAGAACCUUACCCACUCUUGACAUACCUCUUGGGACUUUCAGAGAUGAUUGUCUUCGGUUCGGCCGGGGAGGAUACAGGUGCUGCAUGGCUGUCGUCAGCUCGUGUCGUGAGAUGUUCGGUUAAGUCCGGUAACGAGCGCAACCCUUAUCGUAUGUUGCCAUCAUUCAGUUGGGCACUCAUGCGAGACUGCCGGUGAUAAGCCGGAGGAAGGCGGGGACGACGUCAAGUCAUCAUGGCCCUUACGAGUGGGGCUACAAACGUGCUACAAUGGCAGUGACAAUGGGCAGCUACCUCGCGAGAGGAUGCUAAUCUCCAAAAACUGUCUCAGUUCGGAUUGUUCUCUGCAACUCGAGAGCAUGAAGUUGGAAUCGCUAGUAAUC